CCUCAAUCUGGAUGAAAAUCGCAGACUGGGAAAUCUCUGCUGGCAAAUGUGGUGUCACGGUAGCAAUCGCACAAUUACCUGUAGAGAUUCUGCAAUCUGGCUUUGUCAGGCAACAAAAUGGC
rnacentral:pre_miRNA from 13 species